rnacentral:lncRNA from 1 species
CUGGACCCAUAGUAUGUUGUUUAUGAUUCUAUGUGUAUUACUGUGAGUAUUCUUCGGUGAAACUGUGAUCUCUUCACACACCGGGCCUCUCACGGGCAGAGCUUCGGCUCGGAAACUCUUUUCUUCUCAGAUCUUCGGAACUUCGGGACUUGCUUCGUGUCUCGAGAUGAUAUCGGGGCUUCGGGGGGUUAAAAUAGGGCUUAGAGAGAGUAUCGGGAGUGAGAGAGUGAUAAAAUAGCAACCUAAAUCGGUUGCCCUUCGAUUUCUAUUUAUAGGGCUGAUUUUAUGGAUUCACGUCGUGAAUCUCAAAUAUUCACGUCGUGAGUUCAGUCGUUACUGCAUGCGUCAUCGCAAGUUGCGUCUGUCAGAAGUCAUAAAUAUUGAGUUCACGUCGUGAACAUUGUAUUCACGUCGUGAACUCUGACAGUUUUGGGGUUUCGCGCCCCGAACUUUAGAAAUUCAUAACUUUCGCAUACGAACUCCGUUUUCGACGUUCUUUAUAUCGACGCGUAGGUAAAAACAAGAUCUACAACUUACUGCAUGCGUCAUCGCAAGUUGCGUCUGUCAGAAGUCAUAAAUAUUGAGUUCACGUCGUGAACAUUGUAUUCACGUCGUGAACUCUGACAGUUUUGGGGUUUCGCGCCCCGAACUUUAGAAAUUCAUAACUUUCGCAUACGAACUCCGUUUUCGACGUUCUUUAUAUCGACGCGUAGGUAAAAACAAGAUCUACAACUUUCAUUUAGACUUCGUCGGAUAAUUUUG